rnacentral:lncRNA from 1 species
UCAUUAUUAGCCCAGCGCCGUUGAUCCGCUGUCUCUCCAUAGCAGACGUUUACUCUUAGAGGCAUGAUUGAUUCUCCUGUAGUGAAAAUCUUCAUCUUGGGACAACCAAUCACCCACAAAUCUUGCAAAGAUGGGAAUUUGAAGGUGUAAUUGGCAGAGCAGAAACUUGUGAGGCUAUCUAAAUCACGCAGUUCCAACGUCUUCAAUUUGCGGAAAACAAUCUCUUCUUUUUCAACUCCUUCUUUGUCAUUUAUUACCACCUCUGUCAUCGCUCUGCAUUCACGCAUACGCACUGUGACGAGUUGCACUAGAGUUUUUGCUGUGGAGGAUGUUACCAAGUGUAUCAAUUCCUUGCAACCGAAAGCUACAAUUUCCGUUAGGUUCCGAAAAGAUACCGAUGAUGAUGGCAAUAGAAUUAACAGACUUUGACAAUCAUAUACUUUUAGAAUUUCAAGAUACUGAAAAAUGGGGCCAAGUUUGGAGUCUUGUUUGCACAGCUGCUCAAGAUGAUAGUGCUGGUGCAGCUGUAAUUCUUUUAUCAUUGCCAACUUCCCCACAUGUUUCUCUAAGCAUCCUUCCAUCGAAAAUACCUCUUCGUGGAAUGAAAAAUAACACAGUAUGAGUAUUUCGAGACUGUGAAAUCUCUCAAGUACAUUCCAGAUUGGAAAACAAGCUGAGUCAUCGCCAACAAUAUUUAGUUGUUUAAGACUGCCAAAAAGGGGUUGGGGGAAAUCGGCCUGCAAAAUCAUCUUCACGUCUUUUCCAUUUAAUGUUAGGUCCUUCAAGUUGGGUAAGAUCUGAUCAUCAUCAAUCAUAAUAAUUAUUAAGGUCAAUUGAUGUUCUCUCAAAUGAUUUUAAGUAAUCCAAUCACACGCAGUGACUUUAUAGUAUUUGUUUUAUAUUAUAUUUUAGAUUUUUUAUAUGUUAAUUUUAGAGGUAAAAAAGAAAUUAAGGAAAAAAUUUUGAUUUAUACUGGCUGGAAAUUAUUUUAUUGCACAAUAAUAAAUUACUAAUUUAUUUUGUAAGUUCUUAUAUAUGGAAAGACUAAGUAUCUCCAAAAGGCUCUAUAAAUUUUACUCUUUCAAAUUUCUAUUUGCUUACCUAUGUGGCAAAUAGAAAAGUGAAAAAAUAUGUUAUUCUCCAAAAGACUCUUCAAAUAGAAAUGAAUUAAUAUUAUUUUAAUUAAAUAACUAUUUUUAAAAAAUAAAAAGUCAAUAGUAAUUAAAACACCUCUCUCUCUUUCUCCAACAAAAAGUAAUAAAAUAUAAAUUGAAGAGGGGGAAUGCAACUCUCCAAAUUUGAAGAGAGAUGAUCAUUUCUUAUUUGAAGAAUCUUAAUUGGAGUAUCUUUUGGAACUUUAAAUGCUGAUGUGGCUCUUCAAAUAAGUAAUAAAAUCUUAUUUAAAGAGUCUUUUGGUGAUGCUCUAAGGAUUCUUUUAUAAAUGCUAUACCUAAAAAAGUUCAUAUAAUUAUUAAUCUAUCAAUAAAUCCCUUAGUCUAGACUAGCAAAGAUUAUUGUAUAAUAAAAGUUUUCAAUUUAUUGAGUAUUAAUUUAUUGAUGCUUUGUCAUAUUUUUUAAAGUUCAAACUAAGCUAUUGAUAGAAAUCUAGAAAAUGGCUUCAUACAUUUUCCAACGGCAAUAGGGCCUGUUGUGCAGGAGUAUCAAGUUCAUCAUUCUCAAAAAAAAAAAAAAGAUUGAAUUAUUGAUAAAAUUUAUUAAAUGAUUUUUUAUAUGUUAAUUUUAGAGGUAAAAAAGAAAUUAGGGAAAAAAUGUUGAUUUAUACAGGCUCGAAAUUAUUUUAUUGCACAAUAAUAAAUUACUAAUUUAUUUUGUAAGUUCUUCUAUAUGGAAAGACUGAGGAUUCUUUUACAAAUGCUAUACCUAAAACAAUUCAUAUAAUUAUUAAUCUACCACAUUGAUCCCUUAGUCUAGACUAACAAAGAUUAUUGUAUAAUAAAAGUUUUUAAUUUAUUGAGUAUUAAUUUAUCGAUACUUUGUCAUAUUUUUCAAAGUUAAAAAUAAGCUAUUGAUAAAAAAUCUAGAAAAUGGCUUCAUACCUUUUCCAACGGCAAGGGGGGCAGUUGUGCAGGAAUACCAAGUUGAUCAUUCUCAUUAUUCUGCGAUAAAUCUGCAGCGAAUAUCUUUAAUUUGUCACAACCAUACACAUAAAGAAUUUCUAGCGCGGGCCAUUCCGAAGUAUGCAUUCCAGGGUACAAACAUCUAAGUUUUGGUAGACCAUCGAGUCUCAGAGUGGUGAGCGGUGGAAAGACAAAAUGAGGGGUCACUUGAUCUGCUCUGUUUUCAGAAAUGAUCUCCUGUAAUUCCUUACAGAGUCGUAUAUCUAGGUGUUGGAGCUGCUUAAGGCUUCCGAUCAUGGACGCUGAAAAUAUGUAUUUUAAUUUAUGACAACGAUGCACAGUCAAUCGUGUUAAAUUUUGAAAGCGAGGAAACAUGACCGGAAGAUUAUUGUAGUGCCAAAUCUUGUCGACAUUAAUUUCAUAUAUCUCCAAAGCCUCCAAGUUAGGCAACACAACCUAAAAAAAUAAGAAUUUCUCGUUAGAUCCAAUAUCCAUAUGGGAAGCACUUGUUGAAAUUUUCUUCUUUGAUUACAAAUUAAUGCAAGUCUGAAUCAAUUUCCAACUGACAGCUGAGUAUGCAUUCUAAUUCAUACUACUUGUUAAGAGCUCAAUUAGUGAGCGCGUGAGAUUCUUUUUAUCCUUUUUUUUCCAUUUUCUUUCCAUUCUUUAAAUGAUUUAAUUACGAAAAAUUAAAUGAUUAAGUCCAUUUGAGUUGACCAAUUUUCUUAAUUAUAUGAAUAAAAUCUGUUAUAUAUGAAGAAAAUGUUAGCCUACGCACCUUCUCGUUGAAAAGCAGAGUUGAAGUAUCCAAAGUGAUUUCGCUGGAGCUAUACGUAGUCGUCGAUUCCUCCUGCGACGCUGGUCUGUUUGGUGAUGCUGAAGGAGUCUUUACUUCACGGCAGAAAUUUGUAACCUCUGGAAGAUUCCCCAGACUCAAAGAUCUUAAUUGAGCAAACUCUAUCUUCUCAAUUGCAUUAUCAACUUCUUCCCCAAUUGCAAAAAUCUCUUUCAUCUUGCUGCAAUUAAUAACUGCAAUUCUCUCAAGUCUUGGAAGGCAUUUUGUAGUAGAGAGCCAAAAGAUAUUACUCAAUUUAUCACAACUAUAUGCUUCUAUGGUUUUGAGUUUGUUGAAAGACUCUACUUUGAGCCGAUCAAUACAUAUCCUCUCCAUGUUGAUCAAGUUGUGAAGGAUAAGUGACUCCAAAAGAGGAAAGGCAUCACAAGCGACCAUCUCCCUGGAAUCGACGAUACAAAAGAUGUCAGGAUUAUUUUGAACCCAGAGAAGCUUCAAUUGUGAAAAGCCCUCCGUGUCCAAAUUGAAAAGAACACUCUCGAUGCCUUGCAGCUUGUCCAACCAUAAGCAUUCAACGUUAUUGAUGCCCUGCAAUUUCAUGGAGCAAAUGUCCAUAAAAUCAAGCUUGAGCUUCAAUGCUCUUAAACUCUUGCGAUCUCUGUCGAUCACAAAGUGCUGCCAACUUUUAAACCAUCUGUGUCUAAAAAGCAUGGGAUGUGUGAAUAACCCAUUUCCAAUAUGUAUUUGGAACCUUUCGAGCUUUCUGGCCAAAAAGCCUUCUGGUAAAAUACUAUCAUUUUUAACAUCAAUUUCUAGAGUGGUUAGCCGAGGUAAAAAUUCGCAACUCCAAGUCAUAAGAAGCCUAUGAAAUUAGUUGUAAUGCGUAGAGAACGACGACGGCACCGCCAACAGCUGAAAAUAAGAUUCUUAUUCAUCAAUUUAAACUUUUACUUUAUAACAAACAUCUUAUCUAUAUUUUAUUUAAAAAAAGCAAAUUUUGUAAAAUUUUUCCAUGGGAGAUAGAGAGUAACAUGUAUAUCCGUACCUUUUCAGCAUGUAAUUGUUGUAUGGUUGUGUUUAGAUCAUUAUUAGCCCAACGCUGUUGAUUCGAUGUCUCUCCAUAAGAGACGUUUACUCCCGGAGGCGUGAUUGAUUCUCCUGUAGUGAAAAUCUUCAUCUUGGGACAACCAAUCACACACAACUCUUUCAAAGAUGGGAAUUCAAAGGUGUAAUUGGCAGAGCAGAAACUUGUGAGGCUGUCUAAAUCACGCAGUUCCAACCUCUUCAAUUUGCGGAAAACAAUCUCUUCUUUUUCAACCCCGUCUUUGUCAUUUUUUACCACCUCUGUCAUUGCUCUGCAUCCAUAUA